CAGUAUUUAGUUUUGUUUAGAAAGCAAAAAUUCGAUUUACGUGCUGAUUAUGUUGA
rnacentral:tRNA from 1 species